CCUGCCCCUAGAGGCGUUGCAGGUGUGGCUGCUGUGUCACAUGUGUGUCAGUAGGUGGCAGAGAGGAAAGAGGCUAUGUCUACGCUCAGUGUUCUGACCUGUGAACAUCUGAAUGAUUAGUAGCCUAACAGU
rnacentral:snoRNA from 1 species